rnacentral:lncRNA from 1 species
GUAUUCUUUUUUGCCUAUUAGCUUUUUCCAAUUCAUUCUUCAUUUCUGUCUUAUUAAUAGUGUCAUUUUCGGAAUCCAUAUCUAGUUGUCUUUUAGUGGAUAUUGGAACUUAUAGUGUACACACACACACGCUCAUCUUUUUCUGUGUUUUACACCCUGCUUUAUUGUUUCACUUGAUGGUGUUGUGGCAAUUUUGUGAAAUAUAUGACAGAUGGUACUGAAUACGAUUUUCUUCAGAUCAUUUACAGGAGACUGAUCUCUUUUUUCCCCCCUGCUCUUCUAGAAUGACAACAUUGUUGACUUGCAUUCUUUGGUUGAGAAUGGAUAUAAAUGUCUUUCAUAAUAUCAUAACUAAUUUGAUGAGUACUUCUGUCACUGUUAGUGGAGAGGAUGGAAGAAGUCGAGCAGAGCAGCUCUUGCAUAUUUUGAGACAACUUGAUCCCUAUGUUUCCUCGGCAGUGGAAUAUCAGAGGGAAAGAGGAUGUCGUGCUGCUCAUGAGAUGCUUCACAAGUUUCGGACACUAUGUAUUAGUGGAUAUUGUGCAUUUGGCUGCCGAGGAAGUUGCACACAUGGCAAGCAUGUUGAUCCUGUUGUACACCGGAAUUAUUCUAAUUUACCAUGUAAGACUGUAUCCAUGUGCCUUUUCUUCCUCUGUAUAUGUGUUGUUUAGUACUGUUAUGACCAGUUUUAUUGGUUGCCUUUCUACCAUCAGCUGCUUUUGUGCUGCCAAGUCGUGAUGCACUGUCUUUAGGGGAGAGAAUCAUGGUUUAUCUUCCUCGUUGUGCGGAUACAAUUCCUGAAGUUAGAAAGCUUUCUGCACAGGUCAGUAGUGUGAUAGAGUUUUAUAUUGUUUGAGUUAGCUUGAUGUUUCCAGUUUAUGAUUGCUGAACUUAAAGAUUGGUUUGUACGUAUGAGUAUGCCAUAAUUGUUGCAUCAGUCCCUUCCUUCUCUUCCUUCAUCUUCUCUCUGCAUUUGCUUAUCCUCUUUUUACUUUCUUCUGAUUUUUGUCUUAUUUUUUCCUACCUGUAGAUUCUUGAUCUGUUUUUCAGUAUAUCUCUGUCUCUGCCGAGGCCUGUGAAUUCCAAUUUGGGGUUGGAUUUAGAACUGUCUUAUAGUGCUUUGACGUCACUUGAGGAUGUUAUAGCUAUCCUAAGAAGUGUAAGUCUGUUUACUAUCCUCUCUAUUAAAUUUCCAUUUUUAUUAUUAAAACAUGUUAUUUAUUUUAAUUCCUUUUGAUUUAUUGAUGAAGUAAUUCCUUUUUAUUUUCUUGUCAAAUAUAUAUUUGUACUUCAGGAUGCUUCUAUUGAUCCUUCGGAAGUAUUCAACCGGGUUGUUUGCUCUGUUAGCAUCUUGUUGACUAAAGAUGAGGUAAUAGUCUUAUGCAAGAUUUUGGUUGUGUUCUCUAUACACUAAUCUUUUUGAUAAUUCUGGUGGAUUUGUAUUGAAUUGGAUGAAGAAUUUAUCAAGCCUCCAAGCAACACCUAACAAAAUUUUACAGCUUGCUGCUGCCUUGCAUGGUUGCUCGACAGCCAUAUGUGACAAGGUGAAGCAAUCUGCAGAGAGUGGAAUCCAAGCUGUAGUUGAGUUUAUCACCAAGAGGGGGAAUGAGUUGAAUGAGACUGAUAUCUCAAGGUCCUUCCAACAUGAAUUACUUGUAGUUUUAGAUGAUUUCCGACAAUAGUUUUUGCCAACAAUUAAUAAAUUAAUGAAUUUGACUUAGAGACAUGUCUGUGAACAGGACAACACAAUCUUUGCUCUCAGCUACAGUGCAUGUGUCCGAGAAGUAUCUGCGCGAGGAAACUCUUUGUGCUGUAUCCCUUUAUACUAACUUUUGUCGGCAGUUGGGAGUGGGAAAUUUUGAUAAUCUACAUUUAUUGAAAUAUCAUUUUGCCUGUCAUUUUGAGGACAACUGUUUAGCAAAUGAUACCUCAUUUGCAACCUUGAUGCAACAGGAUUGUCUUUGAGAUUUUGAACUUUAUGGGAAGAUGUUUAACUCAGAAGAAUAACAGAAACCCAUUCGUAGGAGUCGCUUGAAGGAUCUCUUAGGAAGUGCACCUAAAUUUGAUAAAAUUGCCCCCUACACAAACACUUAGGGUUGAUGGAUUUUGAUUUCUUUCCAUUUGUGGGAGAAUCAUGUCUACAACUUGAUGUCACCCUGCUUCAAGGAUUUUAGAGUUCAUUAGUCCCUCAUUUUGACCUUAUUGGAGAAGGUUUUUCUAGUGUCAAAAGCCAAAUCAGUUCUAGCUGUUCUAGUUGGAAUUGAUUGGUUGGUGGAGCCUGAAUACUUUUAAGUGAUGAAGGGCUGUAGUACUUGGAUUGGGUUUGGGCCAUGUAGAUUGGGGUAUUGGAUUAGGAUCAGGCUAGUGGGGACCCAGGAUAUUAAGAGGUGAUGGCAGGUGAGAAAGGCCUGUUAAGAUGUAUAUCUGGGGAGGAUACUUUAUAUGUUUUACGCAAUAAAAAGUUUAUUUGUAGAUGGAUACAAUAAACUUGUAAAUUUUAUAAGAAGACAUUGCAUUUUUCAGAGUCUCAGGUGUUGGGUUUCUGUUCUGGCUUAUUCCCAGUGGCCUUCUCUAUAAAAUUCUAUAUCAUGUAUGGCAACCUUUAUCUUUAUGGCUCUGUGUUGGAGUAUCAUCCUCUAUUUGCAAUUAUGCUUGUGUGUGCAUUUUUCCAAUAACUUUUUAAAGAUCUCGGCUCUUGCUGAGAACACCAGCUCAGGCAUUGUGUUCAAUGAAGUAUUAGCAGCUGCAGGAAGGGAUAUAACCACCAAAGAUGUAUCCAGACUACGUGGUGGCUGGCCAGUACAGGAUGCAUUUUAUGUACGUUGUUCGUUGCACAUGAUAUUCAUUGUGAUAGUUAUGGCUCUAACAUCAUGUCUAUUUGAUUUAUGCAUAUGUGAUUAUGAAUGUAUUUGCUUGUUGUAUGUGUUUGUACAUUGUCUUGUGUGGAUGUUUUAGUUAUUUGGAGAUAUAGUAUGUAAAUGUAUUCAUUUGUGUAGGGGUGUGCGUGUGCGUGAGAGAGAGACAGAGAGCACUUUGAGCUUCAAAUGCAAUUGGUUAAUGUCUCUUUUAUUCAGUAUCAGAUGGAAAGAUAUCUUGAGAUUUAAACUCAUGAUAAUGAAUAAUCCUAUGUCUACAUGAUUUUACUUGUCUUUGCUGUUCUUUUCUCUGUUCUUUUAGCAGGGUUAUUUUCUCCUAGUACUAAUACCUAAAUAAUUACAAGUUUUUAUUUGCCAAUAGGCAUUUUCCCAGCAUGUUGUACUGUCAUAUACAUUCCUGGAGCAUGUGAUAGCUAUUGUGAAUCAGACCCCUCUUCUUAAAGGUGAUCUGGGUAGAGGAGAAACUCCCAGUCAUUCUGGUGAUAAUCAGCUGGAGGAUGUUUUACAGGCAGCUGUUGUCGCUCUGACGGCGUUCUUCAGGUCUAUAUCCAUUACAUUAUUCAACCUUUCUAUUUUAUAUUGCAGCUCUUUCACAUCUCAGUCCAUGUAAAUGCCAGAGGAGGUGGUAAAAUUGGAAGGAAGGCUGUUGAGCAGAAUUAUGCUUCAGUCCUUGCGACUCUGGUGCUCCAUUUUGGAAGUUGCCAUGGCUUAGCCAGUUUUGGUCAACAUGAACCACUGCAGUAUGUGUUAAUUGACUUCCACGUUCAUGGACAUUUUGAAUCUCAUGAGUUUAUAUUGAUAACCUUCUUUCUUUUAUUAUGUUCCAGUUCAAUGCUGAUAGCGUUUCAUGCAUUCUGUGAUUGUGUUGGUGAUCUGGAGAUGGGCAAGGUACUGUAGGUUUGGCUAGAAGUGGUAAUGUUCAUUCAUUUUUAACAUUUCCUUUUUGACCAUUUAGCUAAAAAGCAGCAAAUGUAUAUGCAGAUUCUUACUAGGGAUGGAAAACAUACUGAAAACGAGAAGUGGAUAAAUGUCGUUGGAGAUCUUGCUUGCUGCAUUUCCAUAAAAAGACCAAAAGAGGUUGAAUUAUUUACUGAAUUUGCCUCUCUCUCUCUCUCUCUCUUGGCAUUCAAAAACUACAAUUGCAGAGAUAUCUUCAAACAGUCAUGCACUUACUUGUCACUUCUUCUCUUGCAUUAUAAAAAUUGCAUACACUAUGAGCCAUCACUACAAACUUCAAACACCCCCACCACCUGAAAAAUGAUCCCAAAGGAAGAAAAACGGAAUAUAGUAAAGGAGAAUACUAACUGAUGGGAAAGAACAAAGAGCGUCUCUGUGCUUUUUAAAGGGUGAGUAGUGUGCUAACUGUUAUUAGUUUGCUGUUACACCCAGGUAAAUGUUUGCAGUUGUCUGGAGGAUUGAUCUGAAUGUCAAUUCCUGAAUCCCAGAUUUAAUUUAUGCUGAGUUUGUAUAGUCCUUUUGUCAUAUUUUUCCAUACUUAGAAGUGUUCUGUGACAAAAUGAUGCAAAUUGUGACUUGUCGACAAGUUUGACGUUGUUAUUUGUUUCCAGUCAAUAAGUGAUAGAAACAUGGGACAUCCAAAUUCUUUGUAGAAAAUGCAUCAUGAUGUCUAGUGAUCACCCAGUAGCUGUGGUAUAGAGUUGUGAAUGUAUUUUAAUUUGUAUGCUUAUGGAAUUCCUUGAAUCUGCCUGAUUCAUGUUGCUUAAAUGUCCCCCAUAUUCAGUCCAGGAAAUAUCACCAUCUGAUAUUUAGCGACUGAAAUUAUGAGAAUUUUUUUUGCACACCGAUUUUUUGGGCUAGAAAUUUCUUUAACUCUUCUAUCAAUUCGUCAGAGUUUCCAACGACAAUAUGGUUCUAAAGUCCGCUAGAACUGAAUGCAUAAGCAUUGCUAAGAUAGAAUGGUUCCAAAUGGAGUGUCUUACUUUCACUCGGCAUGGUGUUUCUGGGUGCCAAUUGAAAUAUAACCUGUGUUAUACAGAGUGGGAACUUGAUGGGCUGUAGUCUCCACAUGAGCUCGUGUAUAUUUGAGUACUAUAAUUUUUCUUUGACUAAAUCAUUUACAAAAGGCAAGUAUGACAAUAUUUUGGUAUUUGAGAAAAAUAUAAAAUGGAUGCAUACAUUAUGGAAUGAUUGCAUGUACAUGUUUAAAUCUGUAUAUGUUUGCUCUUGGAAAUCAAACAUACCAAAGAGAAGCCAAAAUGGUGACAUGAUGGUGGUCUUUCCCUCUCAAUGUUUUAAAAGAAGGGCAUUGAGUAUUGAGCAUAUAUUGGACCUACUAUUGUUAAAGUUAUUCUGUAGGUAUUGUAAUAUUUGUCAACUUAUGCUUGAGCUUGCAUCUAUCCGUUGGGUACUGCAAUCUUUUAAGGUUUUAAGUGCUUUGAGUAUACGAUCUCCAACUUGCAAGUUUUUGGUGUAGCAAUUAUCAAUUGUUGUUACAGAACUCCUAACUUUUCCAUACGAAUAUCUUACUCAGAUACCAUCAAUAUGUUUGAUUGUGAGCAAAUCUCUAGAAAGAUUUGAAAGAUUUCACAGGGAAGCAGCCGCUGCAGCAUUGUCAGAGUUUUUGCGGUAUAGGUAUGGCUGGUAAUUAUUAUUGGUCUCAGUGUGUGUAUUUUUUCGUUUUUUUUUUUGUUUGGAGGGAGGGGGGGGGCUUUCUGUGGGGCAUAUUUGUUAUGCUCACUUGGCUAGUUGCAAAUUUUAUUUUCUUUUUUUGGUUGGAAUUGGGCUGCUGAAUCAUUCAGAGAGCUGAAAAUGGUGAAAAAUGAUAUCAAGUUACCACAGUUUUUGAAAUUAUCAGGCCGAUUUUCAUAUUGGCUUGUAGCUCUUAAUCCUAGAUCCUACAUUGUUCUUCAAAUAUUUUUAGCUUGGAAUUUCUGAUUUCUGCAGUGAUGGCUUUGGUUCUCUAUUAGAGCAGAUGGUCGAAUUAUUAUCGCGGCAUGUAUCAGAUGAUUCUCCAACUGUUAGGCGCCUCUGUUUAAGAGGGCUUGUUCAGGUAAUAUUAUCUUCUUUUGUUUUGUUUUUUUUUUCCUUUUUAACUUUUUCUUGAAUUCUGAUUGCUUUCAUAAACAUUCAAUAGAAAAUCAGCUGCAAAAUGAACAAGUUUUUGCAAAAUCUACUUUUAUAAGUUGCCGUGGGACCAACUGAUUCUUUAGCAGUGCAUUUUACUGUUGCAUAUGUGGUUUAGAAGUAUGCUCAUUCUUGUGCGCUGUUUUUUGUCUAACCAGUUACUUUUACGACUUCAAUUUUGAUGUUAUAAUGCCCCUUGGCCUUGCAGAUGCCAUCUAUCCACAUACUUCAAUACACCACUCAAAUUCUGGGGGUAAUAUUGGCUUUACUAGAUGACCCGGAGGAAUCUGUUCAAUUAACUGCAGUGUCAUGCUUGCUAAUGGUGAUCUCCUCCGCCUUCUUAGUCUAUCUUUGACCGCUGUUACUGCUUCAUGCAUUUACUCUAUCAAUGCUUCCCCUUACUAGGUCCUUGAGUCAUCUUCUAAAGAUGCUGUGGAGCCCAUUCUUCUCAACCUUUCAGUUCGACUCCGUAAUCUUCAAGUAAGUUUUGAUUCUUGGAAUAUUAUUUCUCAUUUCUGUAGUCUACUUUCCGUGACUGACAGCAGGAUUCCAUUUAAAUUUGGAUUCAUGAUGUUUCGAAAAAACAUGAGAGUAGAAAGUUAGCAAGAUGAUGAUGCUCGGAUUUGUUAGUUUAUUGCUUAUGGCUGUGACUUAGAGAAAAAUAGUGGGUAGACUGAAAGCUAUCUUAAUUGUUGAUUCUCUGUGUUGGUGACAGAUAUGCAUGAACACAAACAUCCGUAGAAACGCAUUUGUUGCUUUUGGAGCCCUAAGUGGCUAUGCAGUUGGGUCACAUCAUGAGGCAUUUCUUGAACAGGUUGUUUCCUGACUCAAUGCACAAAUUGUUUGUUACAUAUUUGUAGUUAAAGGGAAUUAAAGCAUUUUUUCUGAGUUGAGUUUUACUAUGGUUCAACUUUUAAAGUAUAAUGGUCUGUCCUUCCUUAAAACUUGUUUGUCAUCGUAACUCAAGCUAUCAACUAUGCAUGUUUCUGACAUGGUACUUUUUUCCCCCACUAAAUUCUUGCUUUGCCAUCAAUUUACGGAAGAAUUUAUAUUUUCUUCGUACUGGAUAUUGAAAUAUCUUCUCAGGUACACGCUGUCUUCCCGCGUUUGGUUUUGCAUCUUCAUGAUGACGAUCUAGGUGUCAGACAGGCCUGCCGGGUAGAUAAAUAGUCAUCAACUCAGUGUAGUUUUCUUGGCUUGGAUAUUCUAAAAUCUUGAGCUUGUUUUUUCUUUUUCCAGACCACAUUCAGGUCUAUUGCUCCUCUAAUGGAAAUUGAGGGAGUUGUUGCCCUUUCCAAUACAAAUUGGUUUGGUUCUGAUCACAGGUACUUUUGCAUCAAUAAAAGAAGGAUGUUUCCUUUAAUAAUUGUUGAUUGAUGCCGGAUAUUAGACUGUAUUAGGAUAUUUUUGUGUUUGCAGAAGUGACUACGAAGACUUUUUGAGAGAUCUUGCCAAACAACUUAGUCAACAUUUGGAUUCACGUAUAGAUAGUUAUAUGGUAUCAAUAAUACAGGUUUGGAUAUUCCUUUGCUCAACAUGUUAAUUGAGUUUGGCAUUUUUGCUUGAACGUCUCUUAACCCACUCUGGAAAAAUUUCUCCUGUUAUGUGAGCACAGGUUCAUGGAUUUUCACUACUUGAUUAGGUCAUUAGACUGUUCAGAUUUCAUUUGAGUGCUAUAAUUGUGUCCUUUAUUGUUUACUUGUCCAAGGACAAACUUGUAGGAGGUUUUACAAUUAUCCUAGUGCUUGAAGAAGAUGUUAAGCGGACUCUUUUUUUUUUCUUUCAUAACUUUAGAUGUACUCUAUUUUACCUCAAAUUCUACUUGAUACUGAUCAGUAUAUUAAAAAGCUUUUUAAAUUUGGGGUAUUAACAUACAAUAAGACUGGAACAGAUGAUUUGAUCCAACCAUGUCCUAGACUUUGAUGGUGUGGUAUACAUUUCAAUAUCCUUGUAUGCAUAGGCUGUUUUCUGGACUGAACACAUUUCCAUUCAGCUUGAAUGGGCACUUAAUACGCAUUCUCAGACUAUAUUCUACACGUAUGAAAUAAGGAAGGCUUGAGAAAAAAGGGCUCGGCAUUAGAGUAUAAUUUGUACUUCUAAAAUUUGAAUGACUGAGUGAUGUUGAGUAAGAUUUGUUUAAUUAGCUUUAAUUUGUGCAGAGAUUAUUGACCAAAAUUAUCAAAUGCUGUGAUAUAUUCAAUAAAAUUGCAGAAAUCCUAUUAUAUUUUGGUUUGAAUUUUAAAAAAGCUAAAAAUAAUUUAGUAUUUAACAGAUGAAAGAGCUCAAAAUUUGAGCUGUUAUUCUUCUCAAAUUGAUGUGAACUCAAGCUCAAACAACUAAUUUCUGUUAUGAGCUGUGCUGAAGAGGAUUUUGACUCAAAAAAUGUUGUGAGCCGAAUUCAAGCUCAUGUUGAGUGAUAAUAUUCGAGGUGUUCAAGGUAUAUCAGGCGGAUGAGGUGCUCGUCUGAUCGGAUCAUUCGAAAAUUCAUUAAUAGUGUAAACUAUUGUUUUUCAUCUUUUAAAGCAUAUUGGAUAAGACGUGCUUAAACUUGACUUUUGAAAAUCAUUUGGUGUCUUGAACUUGUGAUGCAUAACUAAGGCUAACGGUGUACUGGACAGGCAAUGGAUUCUAGAAAUGCACCAUGUAUUAAAGAACUAAUUCACAGGGUUCAAUAAGCAAUCAAUAUUUCAUGUAAUGGUUACACUAUAGAUGUCAUUGAAGCUCAUGAGGUUCUGGAUAUGCAGGCUUUUGAUGCUCCAUGGCCUGUGGUCCAGGCGAAUGCUGUCUAUCUGUGUAGCAGCAUGCUUGCUCUCUCUGAGGAUCAAUGUAUAUCACCUCUCUAUUGUAACCAGGUAACUUCCAAUUUCCAAAUGACAAAUGUGCUAUUAUCUAAGACUUAUGGAAUCUGCAUGCUAAAAUUUGACUGGGCUUGUCUUCUCUUAGGUGCUUGGAAUGUUGAUCAGCAAGAUGAGUCGGUCAGCAGAUGCAAUUGUUAGAGCGACUUGCUCUUCGGCCUUGAGUUUGUUACUCAAAUCAGUUAACUUAGCCUCUUGGAAAGCCGUUCGGCUUGAAUGAGUGAUCUUGCCGAAAUCUGCUUGGUUUGUUUGAGUUGACUUGAUUCAGCAGAGCCACGAAACAGAGGACGUUAUGAUGUACAUGAUAGAAUAGGAAACUGUAAGUUGGUCAUAUGCUUCAGAUAAAGUAGGCUCAUUUUUAAAUGUAUUUGGAGAUCCCGCUUCACUUUGAUAGGUACAGCUGCUGUGUUGCAUUAGGGUUGAGGCACUGUUUUUUAAACACUUUCUGUGUUUACUGCUUGUAAUAUUGUAUCCAACAAAAAUGGAACAGAAAUCGAGAUGUCAUCUGUACAUUCCAUUACAAACAAACUUUAGCUAAGUUUGUAGUUUGCCCUUGCCAUACUAUGCUAGUAUUUCCUACUGCCAAUUUUAUAUGAUACGGAAUACUUUGGCUUCAUAACCCCUCGUUCGAAAUUGCUCAACAUUCACGAUCAUGAUUAACAUGGAUCUGUGGUUGUCCUGCGGGAGCACGAGGCUGUUGACUGAGUGAGUUUGUGCAUUUUGAUAUUUCAGAAGCCUUGAUUCUCGCAUUGAAACUUGUUAUUCAUUAUUUUUUUGCACAUAAGAUGUAUUUGGGUGGAGCUAUAAUCAAGUUGAGUUUUUGACUUUCAAGCUCGGUUCAUUAAAUUAUCGAGCGAGUUUGAGCUCAGCUCAGCUCAUCUAUUUAACAAGUUAGAAAUUGUGUUCGAGUUCGGUUAGUUAAAAUUAUCUUGAAUUCGAAUUCAAGUUCGAACUUAAGUCGUAUGGCAUGCAUGAAAAAGCUCAAAUAUGCUUAAAAGUCUUAUAGAAUUUUGCAAUUCAAAAAAUUUAAUCAACUUAAUGAGCCUAUUGAGCAAGAAAAUUUUCAUCGAAUAGAAGAAGAUUCCGAAUAUUUAAGCAAAACAAAAUCCUAGAUGGUCAAGGCAAGUUAUUAAGAAAAUUAGUAAUAGUAACUUGAACAAAUGUAAAAACGAAUUAUUUGUGAAUUGAGGUGAGCUUGGCUCAUUUAAAACGGGCUUAAUUUGAUGUUUGAUUUUUGGCUCAUUCAGUUAAAUAAACAGGUUGAAUUCGAGCUUAUAUGAGCCGAGUAAAGUUGAACCCAAGAAUAGCUCAGUUUGUUUAACAAUUAUUUUUUUAGUUCCGAGGCAAAAAAAUUUGGAUGGACCAAAUGGAGGCACUCGAGGCACUCUCAAUCCCUCCCCCUACAUCCAAGGAGGAGGGACUAACCUCCUGGAGGCUAGAACCCAGCGGUUAGAAUAUGGUUCCCUAUCUUCUAUGGAAUUCACAUAUUAUGUAAUAAUGUAUUUAUCGUGCAAUGUGUUUGAAAAAAGCAACUCCAUCUAUAAAAUCAUGCUAGACCCCUAUUACGUCAGCUGUUGGUCUGGCUUAGCUCUGCUCAUACUGUGCGAGACGGGAAUUCCCUGCUCUUAUUAUUGAUCAAGUUUUUCCAAUCAGUGGUUUCAAAAAACAGGGAAAAAAAAAAGACAAAGUUUGUCCAAUCCGUGUGACAAAUUAUCUGAUUCACUUCUUUGUUCGCAAACUUAAAACUCGGUCUUUUGCCCUCGCCGACUUUCUGAUUUAUUUCAUGAUAAUUAUAGAGACAUCUCGACAAGGAAAAUGAUUGAACUACAUAAGACAAACUCAAAACUCGCACUGGACAAUGCAUGAGAUAGAAUACGGUGGAUUGUCCAUCUUAUAAUGCAAGGUGAGGAUAAGCUCAUGCUGGCCAUGCACGAACGCGGCCGUGGUGGAAUUCGGAGGAUCUCAUCUGUGGCUGCUGUGCUGACUUCCCAUCCAUUUGUUUCUGGCCUUUUGCAGCUACAUCGCAAAUAUACAUACCUAAUUAAAUUAAAAAAGUGUCCUGACACUGACUUUAAAUUUUUUUUCACUGCCCUUUGUUGCUGGUUUUGGCUCAGCGGUUUCCUCGCGCGAAAGUCGACAGUAAAAGCAGCCAAAUGGCUGUCAGUCUUCUGGGCUUGAGGGGAGCACAUGGUUGACGGAAACGGGGGUAGGAGCGGUCAUUCUCACGAGCUGUUAAUGGCCAUGAUUUGGCCUCAACAAAUUGUACGGUCCAAAUCAUAAGUUGUGCAUCGAUUUUCACACCGCGUGUGGGACUCAUAAAUUUUUGUACUAAAAUUACACGUUGUGCAAAUAAAGUUACGCCGUGUGCAACCAAAGUUACGCGCUGUUGAAAAUGGUCAAAACCGUUUAAUUAGUUACAUUUUAGCUCAAGUGGUACCCGGCAUUCCAACUCAAAGACCUUAAAGGUCAAAGGGUUCGAGUCCUGGGGAGACCCCCUCCAAACACCACCAGGGAAUCCAGGCUCCCCUGCUCCCCAAGACGGUGGCGAGACGGACAAAUACACAAUUGGCCUCCACAAAAAGGCUGUAAAGUUCCAUAUCCUUCACUUUGCGUCUGUUUUCUAAUUUCUAAUUUAGUGUCCAAAGAAAUUACCUAAAGUCUCUCUCUCUCUCUCUAUAUAUUUUUAAUAAUGUUACGUAAAGGUAAUAACGUAAGCAUCAUUUUAGAGUAGCAAUUUGUGGUCGAACAAUUUAAUCCGAUACAGAAACACCUCUGAGGUCUGGUCCUUAAUGAAAGUUCCUUUCUCUUGGAUUUGUUAAUUGACAAUUCGAGAAGACGACAAAUGAUCAGAGUGUUUCUGGAAGCAACGGAAGAUUGAUCCGAAAAGUAUGAAUCACGCGAGCAAUGAUGAGCAGAUUCGUGUAUGUAUCAACCAUUUGAAAUUUAUAUUCAACUAUAGACAACAAGCAUCACGACACACGAAGACAAAUCCUAUGGCAGCAUAAUUGGACUGGACGAUUAUUAUUAUUAUCAAACCCCAAAAAAAAAAAAAAACAGAAAGAAAGAAGAAGUCUGGACGACCGGUUCUUAUCCCCUGCCGUGAUCAGUAAUGGCAAAUAUAUCCACAAUUUUCCGCAUCAUCAACCUGGAAUUUCCUUCUCCAUACCUUAUGUUUUUCUUUUUUUUUUUUGGUUUGGGUAAUCUGUAAGGUUUCCUUCUACACACUUGAUACGACGACCGAAGUUGAGACACAAUCAUAGCGGAGAUUUGGUCGAAGCAAAGAAACAAAUCAACAGAAAAUUACGUAGAACCUAGAAACUACCACACCUGUCAAUCAGUUUCUUCUGUCACAAUUCACGACGUGGAUACAAAUCCUUUAGGCUUCUUCGUAGGGGCAAGGGUGGGCCUGUAACCUUGCCUAGUCCCUUACAACACCGGCCCGGCUGAAUGAAUUUGAGAAGACCGCAAGAACUCUUAUCAAAAAACAGUACAGGAGUGAACAUUUUGGCCAUAUCUGUCUAGCUACUGCGCAGAUGCAACCGUAAUAGACUUGUCGAAUUCAUCACCGGCAAUUGUUGACUUUCUUGCCCGGCGCUUAUCACCACCAUCAACUUUCUUGAUAACCGGAAUCUAUGCCAAUUCCGCAUUUCCGACUUCACCCCACCGAAUUUUCUUGCCAUUGAUCCACGGUCGAUGCAUGUGUAACACAUUCGCUGGCCUUUCUCGUUGCAAAUUAACUAUGUCUACACGCCAAGUUGCCGAAAGCCUGAUGAUCAUGUUUAAUUAAUGGCACCAAAUGUGCAGGAUCUUCACUUUGUGCUGGUCCCUUUACUAGCGCAAGGCCACCUGAUCCCGAUGAUAGACAUGGCCAAGCUUUUCGCCGAACAUGGCGUUAGAGUAACCUUGGUUACUACUCCAAACAAUGCCCCCUCAUCAAAAAGAGCUAUUCAUCGGGCUCGGGAAUCAGGGCUCUCCAUUCAAGUGCUGGAAAUCCCGUUCCCCUCUACAGAAGUAGGGCUGCCACCAGGCUGCGAGAAUCUCGAUAGCGUGCCUUCCAGAGAUCUUCUAAGAAAAUUUUACACCGCACUGCAUAGUCUACAGCAGCCACUGGAACAGUAUCUCCAAGAACACAAGCAUCCUCCGAGCUGCAUAAUUUCAGAUAAGUGUAUGUCCUGGACGUCCCAAACAGCUCGAAAAUUCCAGGUUCCAAGAAUAAUUUUCCACGGAAUGUGCUGCUUCUCUCUAUUGAGUGCCCAUAACAUCAAGCUCUACAGGUCUCACCUUUCCGUUAGGUCCGCUGCUGAACCCUUUGUCAUCCCGGGAAUGCCAAUGCACGUCCAAAUCACGAAAGCCCAGUUACCAGGAUCAUUCGUUGCAUUGCCUGACCUGGAUGAUGUCCGGGACCAGAUGCGCGAUGCUGAAUUGAGCUCUUAUGGGGUGGUGGUUAAUACAUUUGCGGAAUUGGAGAAUUGUUGCGUGGAGGAAUACAGAAAGGCUACAGACAAAAAGGUUUGGUGCAUCGGACCUGUUUCGCUGUGUAACAAGCAUAAUUUGGACAAGUUUGAGAGAGGGAACAAAUCAUCCAUUGACGAAGAGCAAUGCUUAGAGUGGCUUGACUCAAGGAAGUCAGAGUCAGUUCUUUAUGCUUGCCUGGGCAGCCAGUGCCGGCUAGUUCCAGCCCAAUUGAUACAAAUCGGAUUGGGAUUGGAAGCAUCUAAUCAACCAUUCAUUUGGGUGAUUAAGACAGGAGAAAGAUUCUCCGAGUUGGAGCAAUGGUUAUUGGAUGAAAGGUACGAGGAGAGGAUCCGAGGGAGGGGAUUACUGAUUAAAGGUUGGGCGCCUCAGGUUCUUAUUCUGUCCCACCCUGCAAUCAAAGGAUUCUUGACACACUGUGGUUGGAACUCUACCAUAGAAGCCGUGUGCUCAGGUGUGCCAAUGAUAACAUGGCCUAUGUUUGCUGAACAAUUUCUCAACGAGAAAUUGGUUGUAGAAAUACUUAGGGUCGGUGUUCGAGUUGGCGUUGACGUGCCAGUAAGAUGGGGAGAAGAAGAGGAAGUUGGAGUACUAGUGACUAAAGAGCAAGUUGUAAAUGCUGUGGAAAGGCUAAUGCAUGAAGGAGAAGAAGGCAACGAUCGGAGAAUCAGAGCCAAAGGGCUUGGUUUGGCUGCAAAGAAGGCCAUGGAAGAUGUAGGGUCGACUAAUAUCAACGUAUCACUUCUGAUCCAAGAUAUUAUGGAGCAAUCCUUUAAGUUAGGAGAAGGGUAAAGAGCUGUAUUACUUGUUAGCAAUAAAACGUUUGCGAAAAACUCUCUUUGUUAUUUUCUUGUUAUAUUUCCUUUCUCAAGUUUAUAAAACAAGGUUACCAAUUUCGAACCCUCUGCGCUAUGAUUAAAGCAAGAAUAGGGAAAGGAAAAAAAACGAUGUUUUUGUUCAACUGAUGCUGAUUCUGCCAUAUCUUGAAUAACGAAUAUUUUUUAGCUGUCAAUUUUUGAAAAGAAGAAGCACUUAAAUCAAGGAUUCGAAUAAUUCUUUACUCUCCCAGAUGCAGACAUCAGAAUUAGGAAGCCAGAGCAACAUUGGCUAGUGCAUUUUAUUGUCAAUCCCGAGUUGUAAAACUCUUGCUAAGAAACUGCAGCCCGGUUCUAGAAUGGUGGGAGACUUGAUUCCAACCACAAUUUAGUUCGUUGGACCAUCUCUACCACUCUCUGCGU